CAGGUCAUCUGGAUUUGACAUGAAAUGCUAUUUCAUUUAAUUUUUUUCCAUGUUCUUUUUUUUAAACCAAGAUUAUAACAAGACUAAUGGCUACAGCCAUGCUAUAGAAGCUCAGCACAGGCUGUACAAACUAAGUGCGUGUUAGUCAAGCCAACAUGCACAAAGUGAAAACACCAACUACCUGAUGAUGGAGCUACACGACAAAUGUACCCUGAGAGGGUCUUGAAUCUUGGCGCGACAGUUCAGCCAAAAAACGGAUGUCAGACUCACACACAACACGUUGCUACUUAUGUCUCGUGGACUCGCGCACAAACUUUGAAGCGCUCUUUCAUCUUGCUCGUGUUGCUGAACAGUCCACGCUGAGAGAAAGCAUUUCCACGUGGAGCACCUACAGCGGCAGACAACACCGGUUCACCCUUCCGCACACCGCGACUGGAUGGGUCCAUCUAACACAACUGUGUCCUUAAAACUUUUGAGCACAUUGACAAAUGGAGGACGAAAGAAGAAGCAUCAGGCCUAACAAACUAUCUAGAGGAGGUGACAGUAUCUGAAAGGGAUGUCAUUAGGAAAAAAAAUAUCCAAGAAAGAGCUGACGCAGGACCUGAGAGAUACAUCUUCAGCUGAUCCACCUACUGGAUCCUGGAGCCUCACCAGAAGUGGUCUCAGUGGAAGGGGGCCUGUUGAAAACAGGGAGAAAAGAAUGAGGUUUGCCAAAUUACACAGGAAGUGGAGUAAAAAUUAGCAGCAACAGGUCUGAUGAAGUGAUGAAUUCAGAUUUUAAUCAGGAAAGCAACAUCUGGAAAAGCUCUGAUUGGCAGUAAGUUCAUUUUUCAGCAUGACAAUGCUCUUAAAGACACUUCAUAUGGCAGUAAAAGCAUCCCUGGAUAGGAAAACUCAGUCAUUGACUGGCCUCCCC
ensembl:lncRNA